rnacentral:lncRNA from 1 species
CCAUAACACCUAGUUUUAUCAUAUUUUUCUUUUCUUUUUGCCACAAGAUUUUGCAUCAUCUCCUCCAUCACCUUGUUACUAUUUUUAUCUAAUUUAUUCAACCCCAAAUAUGAAAUCUGAAACCUCCAAGAUCAAUUCCUAUCAUUGCCAAGAAGUACCAUUGCCGCCCAUAACAUCUAGCUUGUGUAAGAUCUCUUUUUCUUUCAAUUUCUUGUUAAAUCUUAUUAAAUAAAAACCUAAAUUUACAGAUUUGGAAUUUGGGGGAUUUUUAAAGAUUUAAUAGGUAUCUUUCAGCUUUUUAAUCAAUUCCAAAAGUGGUUUUAUGUCAGCCCGAAAAUGGCCACUGCGGGUGGUGGUGCACACACCUAUGGGCAAGAAAGGGGGUUGUUUUUAUUUAAUUAUUUCCUAUAUUUUUCCAGCAUGAUUUUGGGUUCUUGAACCCGUCCUAAUCAGCCUUGAAACAUGUUUUAAUUAAGGAAAAUCGAUCUUGAUCAUUUGACACUUCAGAUCUGACAAUUCGGGAAGCGUAAAUGUGGGUAAUUGUAAACUAGUGAAUAGAUUCGGUUUAGAUAUUGGGAAAAGUUGUUAAUUCAUCAAAUAAAGAAUUUUUAAUAAUAGAUUAGCUACUGAUUUUUUAGUAAUUAAUUGUGCUAGGUUCCGACUUAAAUGCCCAAAUUAGCAGUAAAGCCGGAAAACGUUUGCGCAUACGAUUCGCC